GCAAACUUGGUCAUUUAGAGGAAGUAAAAGUCGUAACAAGGUCUCCGUUGGUGAACCAGCGGAGGGAUCAUUAGCGAGUCUAGCACUCCAUAACCUUUGUGAACAUACCACUGUUGCUUCGGCGGCUCGCACGGGGUGCGCCGUGCACGGCACGCCCCGGGCCCCGCCGAGGACCCCCCAAACUCUUGUUUUCCCAGCGAAUCUUCUGAGUAUAGAAUAAGCAAUAAAAACUUUCAGCAACGGAUCUCUUGGCUCUGGCAUCGAUGAAGAACGCAGC
rnacentral:misc_RNA from 1 species